rnacentral:rRNA from 1 species
CAGCAGUGGGGAAUAUUGCACAAUGGGGGAAACCCUGAUGCAGCCAUGCCGCGUGUGUGAAGAAGGCCUUCGGGUUGUAAAGCACUUUCAGUAGGGAGGAAGGUAGUGUAGUUAACACCUGCAUUAUUUGACGUUACCUACAGAAGAAGCACCGGCUAACUCCGUGCCAGCAGCCGCGGUAAUACGGAGGGUGCGAGCGUUAAUCGGAAUUACUGGGCGUAAAGCGCAUGCAGGCGGCCUGUUAAGUCAGAUGUGAAAGCCCGGGGCUUAACCUCGGAAUUGCAUUUGAAACUGGCAGGCUAGAGUCUUGUAGAGGGGGUAGAAUUUCAGGUGUAGCGGUGAAAUGCGUAGAGAUCUGAAGGAAUACCAGUGGCGAAGGCGGCCCCCUGGACAAAGACUGACGCUCAGAUGCGAAAGCGUGGGGAGCAAACAGGAUUAGAUACCCUGGAG